rnacentral:rRNA from 1 species
UACGGAGGGGGCGAGCGUUGUUCGGAGUUACUGGGCGUAAAGCGUGCGCAGGCGGCCCGUUAAGACAGGUGUGAAAUCCCUGGGCUCAACCUAGGAAUUGCGCUUGUGACUGGCGGGCUUGAGUACGGUAGAGGGGGGUGGAAUUCCUGGUGUAGCAGUGAAAUGCGUAGAGAUCAGGAGGAACACCGAUGGCGAAGGCAGCCCCCUGGGCCUGUACUGACGCUCAUGCACGAAAGCGUGGGGAGCAAACAGG